CAUAAUUAUGUGCCAAAGCGAAAGUAAUAGGGAGACGCAACAUCGGUGGCAGCAUUCGGGUGCCACAAUCUCAAAGUAUUUUAUGAUUGUCCUGAAUGCCAUCUAUCGACUAUGACAUGAUUUCAUUGUGCUCCUGGACUUUAACACUAUCGAGCCGUUCAUUAAAGCUAGUGGGAGCAAGUACAGGCCUUGGUUUGAUAACUGUGUUGGUGCACUUGAUGGGACACACAUUCCUUGCGUUCUGCAGCCCGACAAUGCGGAGGUAUGGAGAAAUAGGAAGGGAUUUAUGUCUCAAAAUGUUUUGGGUGUAUGUUCGUUUGACAUGAAGUUUACAUACAUGCUUGCCGGGUGGGAGGGAUCUGCACAUGACGCCCGCAUACUUGAAUCCGCCCUUGAUGGGUGACACAAAAAGUUUCCAACUCCUCCUGAAGGAAAAUUUUAUUUAGUAGAUUCGGGCUAUGCAAACAGAAGUUGUUUCCUAGCACCAUAGCGUGGUAGUACGUACCACUUGCAAGAGUAUAGGGCACGCCGUGGAUGACUUCGGAGUGAGCGGGAGUUGUUCAACUACACGCACUCAUCGCUCUGGAAUUGUAUCGAGCGCACAUUUAGGGUGUGGAAAGCAAGGUUCCGCAUUCUCAAGAUCAUUAACAACUACCCAAUGAAGAAACAAGUAAAAAUACCUAUUGCUUGUGCGGUCAUACAUAACUUCAUACACAUGUUUCAGCAUGAUGAUAGAUUUAUGACCCAAUACUUU